rnacentral:rRNA from 1 species
CAGCAGCAGCCACGGGAAUACGGAGGGUGCAAGCGUUAUCCGGAUUUAUUGGGUUUAAAGGGUCCGUAGGCGGACUUAUAAGUCAGUGGUGAAAGCCUGUCGCUUAACGAUAGAACUGCCAUUGAUACUGUAAGUCUUGAGUAUAUUUGAGGUAGCUGGAAUAAGUAGUGUAGCGGUGAAAUGCAUAGAUAUUACUUAGAACACCAAUUGCGAAGGCAGGUUACCAAGAUAUAACUGACGCUGAGGGACGAAAGCGUGGGUAGCGAACAGGAUUAGAUACCCCAGUAGUCCCUGUCUCUUAUAC